UCCCAGGUUGUCCAGUGGUUAGGACUCUGCACUUCCUCUGCAGGGGGCACUGGUUCAACCCCUGGUUUGGGAU
rfam:Ovis aries breed Texel chromosome 1, whole genome shotgun sequence.